rnacentral:rRNA from 1 species
AACGCGAAGAACCUUACCCAGUUUUGAAAUGCAGAGGACAGUCUCAGAGAUGAGAAUUCCCGUAAGGGUCUCUGCACAGGUGCUGCAUGGCUGUCGUCAGCUCGUGCCGUGAGGUGUUGGGUUAAGUCCCGCAACGAGCGCAACCCUUAUCAUUAGUUGCCAACAGGUAAAGCUGGGGACUCUAGUGAGACUGCCUAGGUUAACUAGGAGGAAGGUGAGGAUGACGUCAAGUCCGCAUGGCCUUUAUAUCUGGGGCUACACACGUGCUACAAUGGUCGGUACAGAAGGCAGCAAAGCCGCAAGGUGGAGCAAAUCCCUAAAGCCGAUCUCAGUUCAGAUUGUAGGCUGCAACUCGCCUACAUGAAGUUGGAAUUGCUAGUAAUGACGUGUCAGCAACAACGUCGUGAAUACGUUCCCGGGUCUUGUACACACCG